UGGGGAAUAUUGCAAAAUGGGCGAAAGCCCGAUGCAGCAACGCCGCGUGGGCGAUGAAGGCCUUCGGGUCGUAAAGCCCUUUUUGAGGGGAUGAGGAAGGACAGUACCCUCAGAAUAAGCCUCGGCUAACUCCGUGCCAGCAGCCGCGGUAAUACGGAGGGUGCAAGCGUUAUCCGGAUUCACUGGGUUUAAAGGGUGCGUAGGCGGAUAUGUAAGUCAGUGGUGAAAUCAACGGGCUCAACCUGUUAACUGCCAUUGAUACUGUGUGUCUUGAAUAUGAGAGAGGUAGGCGGAAUGUUGCAUGUAGCGGUGAAAUGCUUAGAUAUGCUACGGAACACCGAUUGCGAAGGCAGCUUACUAUUUCGUAAUUGACGCUGAGGCACGAAAGCGUGGGUAGCGAACA
rnacentral:rRNA from 1 species